CGCAGGCCGGCGAGCGGAGCCGCCGCCGGGCACUCGCGCUGCCAGUCGAGGAUCGAGCGUCCCGUCGCCUCGAUCACUUCGAGCGCCCGUGCC
rnacentral:tRNA from 1 species